UACGUAGGUGGCAAGCGUUGUCCGGAUUUAUUGGGUUUAAAGGGUGCGUAGGCGGCCUAUUAAGUCAGUGGUGAAAUAUCUCAGCUUAACUGAGAAGGUGCCAAUGAUACUGAUGGGCUUGAGUACAGAUGAGGUAGGCGGAAUUGACGGUGUAGCGGUGAAAUGCUUAGAUAUCGUCAAGAACACCUAUAGCGAAGGCAGCUUACUAGGCUGUAACUGACGCUGAGGCACGAAAGCGUGGGGAGCAAACAGG
rnacentral:rRNA from 1 species